GAUGAACGCUAGCUACAGGCUUAACACAUGCAAGUCGAGGGGUAACAAGAGAAAAGCUUGCUUUUCUUGUUGACGACCGGCGCACGGGUGAGUAACGCGUAUCCAACCUGCCUAUAACUAGGGAAUAACCUUGCGAAAGUAAGACUAAUACCCUAUGAUUUCCUUUGAUGACAUCAGAUUAGGAAUAAAGAUUUAUCGGUUAUAGAUGGGGAUGCGUCUGAUUAGCGUGUUGGCGGGGUAACGGCCCACCAAGGCAACGAUCAGUAGGGGUUCUGAGAAGAAGGUCCCCCACAUUGGAACUAGAACACGGUCCAAACUCCUACGGGAGGCAGCAGUGAGGAAUAUUGGUCAAUGGGCGGAAGCCUGAACCAGCCAAGUAGCGUGCAGGAUGACGGCCCUAUGGGUUGUAAACUGCUUUUAUACAGGAAUAAAGUUAGCCACGUGUGGUUAUUUGUAGGUACUGUAUGAAUAAGGACCGGCUAAUUCCGUGCCAGCCGCCGCGGUAA
rnacentral:rRNA from 1 species